GCUCGUGUCGUGAGAGUGUUGGGUUUAAGUCCCGUAACGAGCGCAACCCUUGUCCUUAGUUACCAGCACGUUAUGGUGGGCACUCUAAGGAGACUGCCGGUGACAACCGGAGGAAGGUGGGGAUGACGUCAAGUCAUCAUGGCCCUUACGGCCUGGGCUACACACGUGCUACAAUGGUCGGUACAAAGGGUUGCCAAGCCGCGAGGUGGAGCUAAUCCCAUAAAACCGAUCGUAGUCCGGAUCGCAGUCUGCAACUCGACUGCGUGAAGUCGGAAUCGCUAGUAAUCGUGAAUCAGAAUGUCACGGUGAAUACGUUCCCGGGCCUU
rnacentral:rRNA from 1 species